GACCUCGUAGCUCAGUUGGUAGAGCAUUGGACUGGCAAACCAAAGGUCGUAGGUUCGAUUCCCACCAUGGUCA
rnacentral:tRNA from 1 species